AGAUGUUGAGUCAUGAGCCAAUCUUAUAUAUAAAAGCACCUCUUUUUUCCGUUCAUCUCUAAGUAUGAGAUAAUUACUUCUAAUAUGGGCACCCAACAAUUACAUUAUAACACUACCGAUCAUCAUGGUUGGAUUGCAUUAUCUCAACUAAUGUACAAAUAUCAUGUUUUGUGAUAGUAUACCUUCUUUCCAAAUACAAAAUGUAUAAGCCCUCCUUUUUAUAUAACUUAGAAAUUAAGUAGAUUUCAAAUGGUUCAUCCGAUUUCAGAAUGGUUCAAGCUAUUUCUUUCCUUCAAUCACUGUUUUGAGAGAAGGGAGUUGUAUUGUAACUUCGUUAGUCUGAUUUUAUGUUCAGAAACUGGUUAUGCUAGAAAAGCUUCUUCUGUUGCUUCAAUUCAUUUUGAACCUGUUGUAGAUCACGUAUAGCCCCUCCAAUCUACUCAUAAAAAUGACGGAAAAGAUGUCUUGAUAUCUCUGCUAAAUAUUUUUGAAGAGCGUUCAAGUAAAUUUCAGGUUGAAUACUUAUGAGAUUAUUGCUGAAUCUUGUUUCUGUAUCUGGCAUCCCAGGUGAUUCAUUUUUUUUACAAUUCCAAAUCAAUUUUAUCCUUCAUUGAUAAUGUUCUAUUUUUACGCGCAGGGAGCGAACAAAAUAUUGCUCUUGGUUUCAACAAAAGGUCCUUCACAUAUGAUGAACUAGCAGCAGCUACAGGUGGAUUUGAUCAAGCCAAUUUAUUAGGUCAAGGUGGGUUCGGUUAUGUGCACAAAGGUGUGUUGCCUAAUGGGAAGGAGAUUGCAGUUAAGAGCUUAAAGGCAGGUAAUGGACAGGGUGAACGAGAAUUCCAGGCUGAAGUUGAUAUCAUUAGUCGUGUCCAUCAUCGCCAUCUUGUGUCACUUGUUGGUUAUUGUAUUGCUGGAGGGCAAAGAAUGUUGGUCUAUGAGUUUGUUCCCAACAAGACCUUGGAACAUCACCUUCAUGGCAAGUUUCUGUUUCUGCUUCUGCUUCGUUUUCUAAGGCACCUCUCAAUUGUAAAGUUUCUUGUUGAACGAUAAAAGAAAUGUCAUGGUGCCUUAAUUGCAGACUUUCUAAGAUUACAGAGAAGUCCGUCCAAUCUUAAGCCAUCGAUAGAUCUAGAUUUGUCAAAAGAAUGCAUACAGACAGUACUAUGUGAAGCAUUCUAGCUUCAAGGCAUCUUGAUACACACACCAGCACCACCUCUUAUAUUAUAAAAAUUCAGCAAAAAAAUCCAAUUAGGAUGAUAACCUCAAACUGUCGGUUGCAGGAAAAGGUCUUCCAGUCCUGGAGUGGACGACUAGGCUCCGUAUUGCAUUAGGUUCUGCCAAAGGGCUUGCUUACCUUCAUGAAGAUUGUAAGAUGUUCUACCCCUCCUUUCUAUCCCCCACAACACACACACACACACACACACACACACACACACACACACACACGCAGUGAUCACAUAUUUAUGUUACUUCAUUGAAAAAUAUGUGCAGGCCAUCCUCGGGUUAUCCACCGUGAUAUUAAAGCUGCCAAUAUUCUUAUUGACAACAACUUUGAAGCCAUGGUACCUUCUCUUGGUGGACCUAGAUUUAUAGUUUAUCCUAUACAUACACAUAUAUAUGAUACCGGCCCCCAAGCAGUAGAUCCAUCAAAACAAUAUUGCUGAUGUUGACAAAGCUAAUUGAUCACGCUCCUUUGCCUAUUCAGGUUGCUGAUUUCGGAUUGGCUAAGCUGUCUUCUGACAAUUAUACGCAUGUAUCUACCCGUGUCAUGGGUACUUUCGGGUAAAGCUCUGAUAAGCCAUUCUUUUGUUAGAUAAGGGUGGACUUGAAUCAAUUUCAAAGUUCUUUCCAUAGCAUGGCAAGGUCUUAACCAUCUACUUUCUUAUUCAAAAAUGAUGAGCAGUUAGAAAAGGUUGCUGAUAAUAAACUCCCUUGAUCGAUGCUAAUGCAGGUAUUUGGCUCCUGAGUAUGCAGCAAGCGGCAAGCUGACUGAGAAAUCUGAUGUUUUCUCGUAUGGAGUCAUGCUCUUGGAACUCAUAACCGGGAAGAAACCUGUUGAUCCUUCAAGUGAAAUGCAAGAUAGCUUGGUGGACUGGGUUUGUGGUUUCUCUAUUUUUAUCCAAGUUUGACUAAAAUGCUUUUCAGUAUAAACCUUUCAUCAAAGUUUUUGAAAUACUUGCCAUCUUGUGCUGUUCUGUGCAAGUAAAUAUAUUUUUUUGUGCAUGUAACGGACAGGCUCGACCGCUUACGGUUUCUGCUUUGGAGACUGGCAACUUCAUCCAGUUGGUCGAUCCAUUGUUGGAGAGCAAGUAGUAUCCAAAGAACCUCACUUCCACAAGUAAAUUUCUAAUAAUUAUCAUGAGACGCUAUUUGACAUGUUGUAAUUUUUCUGCAAAAUAGAUAGUACGUGCAUUAGAAGGAGAUGUAUCACUGGAUGUCUUGAAUGAGGGUACAAGGACAGGCCGGAGCCCGAUGUUUUCCAGCUCGAACGGAAGCUCAUCAGACUACGAUACAAAUUUGUAUAAUGCAGAUAUGAAAAGGUUCAGGCAGGUGGCGUUAGGUAGUCAGGAAUUUGGGAGCAGUGAGCUUGGAACGUCAAGCAAUGACUCCCGAGAAACGGACCCUUCAGGGAUCCACAGGAAUUAUCGAUGAAACAGCCAGUCUAAUUACUAGCCACAAAAAUGUACAAAAAGCUUAAAAGCCAAUUUACGAGCCAUUUUUGGUGGUCAAGAACAGACAACGAUCGCAGACAUACAAAUAUAAUUAAAUGGUCAUUAUUUUUCUUUCAAGUGAUUCUGUUGAUUUGAAACUAGUUACUUGGUGUCUUUUUCAAGGGUUAACUCUACAGCGGAGAGACCAAGUAUUUAGGUGGUACUAAUGAUUCUUGCUAUAUAUGGGAAAAAUGUUGAUGGCACUCACCAAGAAACCCUAAUUUUUUGACUAAUUGAAUUUGUUUCUCUCAUCAUAUGUGGUAUUGUAAGGGUGUGUGAAGAUAGGUGGAGAUGCCUACCUUGGGUGGAGGUGCCUUAACCAACUUGGCCACUUGCUCUUGCAUGGAUGCUUGCCUAUAAAUAGGCAAUGCAUCCAAGCAUUGAAAACACACCACAAGAGAGAAACAAGAGAGGAAGAGAAGAGUGAGAGAGGGAAAGUAAUCCCACAAAAUUGUUAGGUAUUUGUGAGAGAGUAAGUGAGGUGUUUUCUCCUAAUAAUAGAGAGAUUCUUAGUUGUUCUCCUAUUAUUUGAGAGAGGUUGUAAUUCCCACAUUACUAGUAAAAUCCUUCUAUACUUGCCCGUGGACGUAGCCUAAUUGGGUGAACCACGUAAAUUCUUGUGUCUCAUUUCUCAUUUAUCUUGUCCCUUACCUUUUGUCUUGUCGGGUUUGCAUGCCAAUAUCCUAACAGUGGUAUCAGAGCCUUCUUGGUUGGUGUUGUUAACACACAAAAGUUAUUCGUGUAUACGGUUACUAUUCACGUCUACGACACUAUUCACCUAUACGGCACUAUUCAUCAAUACGGUACUGUUCACUUACUGUUGGCGUAUAUAGAAAGUCAGUGCGGUGAUUAAAUACAGUCUAGGAAGUUCUGUCUAAGGAGAUUGGGUUUUAAGCGGGACCGUUUGUGACCCCUCCAAUCUUUCCUGGGAACUUACUUAGUGAAGUAUUAUUCACACGAUACUAUUUCUAUAUACGUUACAGAUCUGUGAAACGGUGAUAGCUGAAUAGAUCUCGGUGAAUACAAUGGCAGCAAAGUACGAGAUUGAGAGGUUCAAGGGGAGCAAUUUCUCACUGUGGAAAAUGAGAAUCAAGGCAAUCUUGAGGAAAGACAAUUGCUUGGCAGCAAUUGGGGAUCGGCCCGCGGAGAUCACUGAUAAUGCAAAAUGGAAUGAGAUGGAUGGCAAUGCUAUUGCUAACAUACAUUUAGCAUUAGCUGAUGAAGUAUUAUCAAGUGUGGCGGAGAAGAAAACAGCUAAGGAGAUAUGGGAGACUCUAACAAAGCUAUACGAGUCCAAGUCUUUGCAUAAUAAGAUUUUCUUAAAGCGGAGACUUUAUACCCUUCGAAUGGCAGAAACCACGUCGGUGACUGACCACAUCAACACAAUAAGAACUCUAUUUUCACAACUCACUACAUUGGGUCAACAAAUAGAGGAACAUGAACGUGCAGAGCUUCUACUUCAAAGUCUUCCUGAUUCGUAUGAUCAGCUCAUUAUCAACUUGACCAAUAAUAUCCUCUCAGACUAUUUAGUCUUCGAUGAUGUUGCAGCUGCUAUCUUGGAAGAAGAAAAUAGGCGCAAAAACAAAGGAGACAGAAAUAGUUCAAACCAAGCUGAGGCAUUGUUGGUAUCAAGAGGAAGAUCAACGGAACGUGGCUUCAGUGGGAGUCAAAGGCAGGGGAGGUCCAAAUCAAGAAGUAAGAAGGUUGUGAAAUGCUACAACUGUGGCAGAAAAGGGCACUUCAAAAAGGAUUGUUGGUUUAAAAAGGGUAUAGAGAAUACUGUAGAGUCAUCAAAACCUCAAGGAUGUGUUGCAAGCACCUCAGAAGAUGGGGAGAUUUUAUAUAGUGAAGCAGCAACAAUCUCUACAGAUAGAGAAGAGCUCACUGAGGUCUGGCUAAUGGAUUCAGGAGCAACAUGGCAUAUGACCCCUAGACGAGAUUGGUUCCAUACAUAUGAACCUAUCUCUGGAGGCAUAGUGUUCAUGGGUGAUAAUCAUGCUGUAGAGAUUUAUGGCAUUGGCACCAUCAAAUUGAAGAUGUAUGAUGGCUUAAUUCGUACUAUUUCAGGAGUGCGACAUGUGAAAGACUUAAAGAAGAAUCUUUUGUCCGUAGGACAAUUUGAUAGUCUUGGCUGUAAGAUCCGAACAGACAAUGGAAUCAUGAAAAUUAUCAAAGGCGCGCUGGUGGUUUUAAAGGCAAGAAACACAGUUGCAAACAUGUUUGUAUUAAUGGGAGAAACACAUCAGGGGUGUCGCACCCCAAAAAUAAAUCAGCGCGCGGCAUCGGCUGGCGAUUUAAGUAUCGUUAUCAUUGUGUUUGCUUGAAUUAUUCGUUGGAGUCGCCACCUAGUAAUUUAUUGAAGGCUACUAGGAAACCGGAUAUACUGGUCUGGUCAGAGAUUCACGGGUAAGGAACUUGUUGUGGUUAGGGAAGGUAUUAGCACCCCUAACGCACCCUACCUGAGGUAAGCUGCUUCGUGGCUUUGACGUGUUAAAGAAGUUUUAAUAAUUGUCUUUUCAUCGGAAAUUAGAAAUAUCACUUACGUAUAAGUUAAUAAUUCUUAACCGUGAUCCAAUCAAAAUAUUAAAUUCUUCUUUAAUAUCUGCAAUUUUAUCAUUAAAAAAUAUAUUUAAAAAAUAAAAACAAAUACAAACACUCACAUUCAUUCACUGUAUUAUUUUUGUUUCUUUUCUUUUUUUCUUCUUUUCUUUUUUAUCCACAAUACAAAUACAAAUACAAAAUAAAUAAAUAAAAAUACACCAACACACACAACCCCUUUUUUUAUUAUUAUUUUCUCUUUCUUUUCUUUUCUUUUCCUUUUCCUUUUGUACAUACCAUUACCAAAAUACAAAUAAAAAGAAUUCAAAACUAAAUAAAAAAUACAUCAAACAAUUUUAAAUUACAAAAACAGUCCUAAAACAUCUCUAGAAAAUGCAGGAACAGUGCACGGAAGAUUUCUGAGGCAGAAAACAGUGGCGGCGCGUCUCCUCCACGCGCCGCCGCCGCAUCAAAUCCACACAACACAGGGAUCUUUAGCAGCCUCAUCCCCUCUUCCACCGGUGGUGACCUGCACAGAAGAAUUAAAAACACAAAAAGCCAGUUGAUUUUAAUUAUGUUUCCAUCACAGUUUUCGAAUCUGCUCCUCUUUCUCUUCUUCUCCGUUGCAGAUUUGUUUUUCUCUGCAAAUCAGCCCAUGUAUUUCUUCUUCUUCUCCUCUACUUCAGGUUGCCGAUCUGGUGGUUGCAAAGGGGUUCACGGCUGUGGUCGCUGCUGUUGUCGUCCGUAGUUCAGGCGGCGCUGUUGAGGAGAUCGGGGAAGAUCGAUCGGGGUUCUGUUGUCCUUCAAUUGGUUCUGCUGAUGAGACCAGCGGAGGAGAAGAAACGGCUCUUGGCUUAUCCGGUGGGUAUCGGUGCUGCUGCUGUUGCUGAGGGAAAGAUCUGCUGGAGGCGGUUGUUCACGGUGGCUGUGAAGAGAAGGCUGAGUCGGGUUUGUCGGAGGCUGGCUUCGGGUUCGUCCGGUGGAAAAAAAAAAAAUUCCAGCGGGGGGAUUAAAAAAUCAAGCCGGGGAGGAAGGAUUAGCCGUGUGUUGGUGGCUGGAAAAGCCAAACGAAAGGGGAACGGCGUGGGUAGAGGCUGAGUGGGGAAGAAUGAAGAGCUGAAAUGGCAGGGGGGGGCUGAAGGUUUGAGCCGGGGAAGGGCGGCUGCAGCUUUGGAAAAAAUGGAGAAGCCCUACUCUUGGGCGGCGGCUUGGAAUGAAAAAGAUAGAUUUAGGUUUUUGUAUUUUUUUUCUGAUAUUGUCAAAAUUGCCCCCCCUCCAAAAAAUCAGUUUAGCAUGGUAUUUAUAGGCAACAAUGUUGCUAGGUCUUUCAACUUGGUCCCUCAACUUCUUUCUUUUUGUAAAUUUUGAUUUUUCUUAUUUUUUGUAUUUUUUGAAAACGAGCAAUAUCAACGUCGACUUAAAUGCGGAAAAUCAAUGAUUUUAAAAAUGACGCGAAAAGUCGAACGCGUUUGAAAAUAUUUUAACAAAUAAAAUUCUUUUUUUAGACGACGUUGAAAAUGCUAAAAUGACGAAAAUAUAUUAAAAAAACAUAUGUUUUGUAUUUUCUUUGUUUUUCUCAAUUUUUGGAUUUUUUGAAAAUAUAUCAAAACAUGGGUCAAAAAUUGGGUAGCAACAGAUGCCCCCUCUUUACAAUGCUUACGAAGCAAAACUCCUCAAAAUUUUGUAUAGUAAGCUUUGUAAAGAAAACAAAAGGAAGAUGAUUUCAUUAUCUUGGGCGACCUGCCCACACACUCACACUGAUCUGUUUUCACGGGCGACCUGCCCACACAUACUCACUCAAAUCUAUUUUCACGGGCGACCGACCCACACUCUCCCAAUAGUCUAUUUUCACGGGCGACCUGCCCACACAUUGGGUUUACUUGAGAUCCCAUCUGGCGACCUCAUUCAACUGGAACGAAAAUAUGUGUAACUCGGUUAACCUGAAAUCCCAUCUGACGAUUCCCUUUAACCAAAGUUACAUGAGAUCCCAUCUGGCGACCUCAUUCAACUGGAACGAAAUAUAUGUAACUCGGUUAACCUGAAAUCCCAUCUGGCGAUUCCCUUUAACCAAAGCUACAUGAGAUCCCAUCUGGCGACCUCCUUCUGGUCUCAUUGUACGGGUGACGAACCCUAGUGCUGCUGGUCUCAUUAUACGGGUGACGGACCCUAGUGCUGGUCUCAUUGUACGGGUGACGAACCCUAGUGCUGGUCUCAUUGUACGGGUGACGAACCCUAGAAAAAUGCUGGUCUCAUUGUACGGGUGACGAACCCUAGAAAAAUGCUGGUCUCAUUGUACGGGUGACGAACCCUAGAAAAAUGCUGGUCUCAUUGUACGGGUGACGAACCCUAGAAAUAUGAUGGUCUCAUUGUAUGGGUGACAAACCCAGAAAAAUGAUGGUCUCAUUGUAUGGGUGACGAACCCCGGAAAAAUGAUGGUCUCAUUGUAUGGGUGACCUACCCAGAUGGAAAAAAUGUGAAGUGCGGUCUCAUUGUAAUGGGUGACCUACCCACGUCGAAAAAAUAUGAAGUGUGGUCUCAUUGUAAUGGGUGACCUACCCAGAUGGAAAAAAUAUGAUGAAGUGCGGUGUGAAAAAUAGGACUUACCUGGCGAAGUUCUGAAGGGAUGACAGAAGAAAGGGCUGGAAAACUCGGUGCUUCCUGAUAAUUCCCGAUCAUGGGGUUUGAAAACUCGAUGUUUCCUGACUGCAAGGGUUGAAAACUCGAGGCUUCCCGGUUGCAAGGUUGAUCUAUUCAUUUCUUUGAGAUUUUCCUAAUGGUAGGGUUCAUCCUAUCGUCCUUUUAUUCCAUGAUCAAAACCGAUUCUUUAUUAUCAUCACCACAAUGCUUCUUUCUCUUUCCACUAUCUUGCUGGACCUCAUUAAGGAUUUUCCUGUAACAAUUCAAAAAUCUGUGCAAAUGGUUUUUUUUUUUUUUUUUUUUUUUUUUUUUAAGGUUAGAUGAUAUGCAUGCAUCCUUACCUGAUUUGAAAUAAUAGGUCCCCCCUCUUUGAUGCUCCAUCGUCAUAGGGUGCCCUUGUUUGUAUCCCAAAGCUUUCUUUGUUUUUCCGAUGUAUUGGCUCAUUCAUGUGUUAGCCAUCCACUCAACUGUAAAUGCAGUGCCCAUCCCGGGCUGUCUUCGACAAUUACUGCUCGCAUCGUUCAUGAAGCUUGACCCUGCCCCCAAGUGUAGUACUGCUUGAUUCAUCAUGAGAGAUUUUCUCUCCUGGCUUCUUCUGAGAAAUUAUCCUCUGAUUGAUUGUGUGCAUCAUGCCAACACCCAUCACGUUUGUUAAUCAAUCAUGAACUUGCCUUCGGUUGAAACACCAUUCAAGUGUGUAUGGUCACCAGCCUUCAUGGAACUGCCAAGUCAUCCAGACAUGUAUCUCAUGCUUUGCAGCAAACAGCUCAUCAUUGUAAGCGCGAUGUAUUUCUCUAUGGAUUCCUCUUAGCUUGUCAAAUCAUAUCGUGAAAAUAACUGCUUUGGCAUCAUCAAUGAUGUUCAUGUUAUCACCCCUAUUCAUGCGGUGAAGUGCGCAUUUGAGCUUCAGAAUAGAUGGUCCCAUAGUCAAUCUUAGUGGUAUGCAUAUGUUCGAUGUUCAUUCAAAUGCACUCACCCGAUAACAUCUGUUAGGAGUCAUAGCCAUGUUUUACAGGGUAACCCAAGAUGAAGAUAUGAAAAUAUCCUUCAAGUGUAGCGUUGCUCAUCAAUUGCUGCUGAAGUGCACUAGAUCAUGGAUUGUCUUUGAACAACAUUGCCCUUAAUAUGAUCUGAAGGUUGGUUCAUCGGUUUAUACUCAAGAAGGUUUUUCUUUGCCAUUGUCAGAUGUCAAACAUAACUUUCCGGGACUUUGAUGACUCAUCAUGUGAUUCUUUCUUUGCCCCCAGCUGAUUUGGAUACUGUUUGUUUUUCUUCUAAAGGUCCACUGUAUUGCCCCCACGUGGUCAACAUUUCAAGGAGUGUCGGGAAUUUUUCUUUUUCAAGGAUUUUGCAAACUCAAUCGAUGUUCUUAUUUGAAAAUCUUUCUUGUUCUGGAAUCAACUCUCAUAUUUCAAAGAUCAUGUCUUUUCAAAGUCUAGUUUGUUGAAAUGAAAUCAGAGAUGUCCUUUUUGAAAAUCUUUUGAAAUUCAAGCUUUUUGAUCAAAGACCCAACACACUAUUCAAUAUAUAGUCCUUUGAUUGUCAUGCAUUUUGAAAACAGAAAUGACCCAAUGUAGAUUAAAAUGGCUUUUUCCAUGGUUCUUUGUAUCAUUUGAAUCCUUGAUAUUGGGUAUAUCUUUUGAGUCUGUAUGAGGUGACAUUUUUAUGAAUUUCAAAAACAAGAUGCUCAGGCUUUAUCAAGAAAGGUUGUUUCUUUCUUAGCAUUUAUUUUAUCAGCAUGCAUAAUAACCAGUAGCUUAAUUCAUGAAGUCACGACCCUUAUGGAAAAACUCUUCAAGUUUUGAGAGCGCCAUUUAUCGGUUCAAUUGCUUGCUUGAUUAAAAAGGGCUUUUAAAAGCACGUAAUGCAGGCUAUGGUUCAUGGCUAUGAAAGAAAGGAAUUUCAAAGGCUCAAAAGGUGUUUGAGGGUUUCAAAGACCUAGGAUCAACAUCAACUAUUCAUCAACUUUUCUAUUAUUGUCUUUGUAAGGAAACGACAUAUAACCUUGUUAACCUCAAAGUUCAGACUUUUCUUAACAUAAGUCAUAAUGCAAAUCCCUUUCUUGAGGAAUAACCAACCUUAAUCAUCUGAUAACAUCGUAGGCUUUAUAAUGGAUACCAAAAGUCAACGCUUAUAGCUUAGUUUUUCUGGUAUUGACUUUGUUGUGCUUUCCUUGAUUGAAAUUUCUUUUGCUCUUCAUAGACUUGAUAGGCGUUCUCCUUCCUUUAUCUUUGACUUGUAUUUAAGUGAAGGCAAUUUCAACUUCCUUUUUUUCUUUUUUUUUUUCAUAGCCUUCCUCAAAAUUUUCUUAUAUGCCCCCAGUCUAUGUGUUUUCUUUUAGCUCUCUCUCAAUCAUUGGACCUUUGUUCUAAGCCCCUUUAUCCAUUAAUUAUAUCAAUGUCUCCAAAAUAUCUCUCAUUUGCCCCCAGUGUGGGGUGUGAUCCUAGUCAGGGUUUCUUUUUUUGAAAGAAAAUAUUUUACCAGGCUCAAAAUGGGACUGCAAGGGAUAUAAUCUUUAGAAAGUGAAGGGAUAUCAAAGAUGGCCUUUUCUCAUUUCAAGCAAGGUCGGUUAAACCGAUAAAUUUUGACCUCAUCCAGUGUAAUGAUUGGGACUUGUAAGAAUCAUGAUUCACGAGUCCAUAACUACCGAAUCCACUACAUGUCAUUAUGCAUACUGUUAAAACUUAGCUAUAUGAUGUGUGGUUCAGUUUCAGGAGGUAUGAGUUCAAAAUUGUUUGGUCACCUCAUGUCAUUUUCAAGCAUCGAGUCAUUUCUGUAAUCAAAACACUUUUAAUCUUCCGGAUUGAUUAACCUUUAUCGCAUGUUGGAGUUUGAUCAAAAUAUUUUGUCAGAAUAAAAUUAAACAUCUGUUGAUUUCAAAACAACAAAGAGACAAAAGCAAGGCAUGUUUCGUUGAAGGAUGAGAUGUGAUCCCAAAACAAAAUGCAGAAUUCCAAACAAUAUGAUUGACUGUUCAUCACCUUCUUGAAUCAGCUUUUCUGGCAAUAUUGCGUUUUGCCAAGCACUUUCGAUCACAUGUCAUUCUGAAGAUGUUCGGGGCAAUAUAGCCAAUGACACCCUCUUCAACGACUCCACUUGUCUCUUGCUCACCAACUUUCAGACUCAAUUCUUGCAAUUCUUGAAAUUGUUCACUUGAAAUGGUUGAGGACCCUACCAUGACAUCACAUCUCUUAUCUGGAUUAUACCACCUAGAAAUUGGUGGUUGCAUGGGAUUUGUCGGAGUCAAGCAAAAUUCUAGAAUCUGGCAGAUGCUGGUCGACAAACUUAAAUGGCAGAGGAAUGUCCCAUCUUGGCAAAGAUAUUUGAGCAAUUGAUGCUACCGUGAGACCUGGCUAUACCACAUAAUUAAGGGUUCACACCGUCAAAGUCAUCUCCUGAUUCACCUCUCAUCAUUGUUCUGGAAUCCAUGACAGAUCCUUCAAUCUUUCUUCUCUUCAUAGCUUGUUCAAUUCUUCGGCAAAACCUCACAACAUUAUUUCAAUGUUGUUGUGGUUGGUUGAGGAUUGUUAGAAAACUUUCUAACAGCUUGGUAAUCUUGGCAGCGCCCAGAAACUUGUAGUAUCGCCACUACCGACGUGUGGAAUCACACAUUGUCUUUAUUGGAAGAGCACCUGAUGAAUCUAAAAACUCCUUUGUCCCAUCUUCGAUUUCUCACUGACAGUGCAGCAAACAAACACCUAUAAAGGAAGUCCUGCUCUGUUGAAGUUUCAGUAUUGUUCAUGUUUUUCAGUCUAGGCAUGUCUCUUCUCUCUACUUUUGCGUUUUAAUACUGACACUGUUGGAGAAAAAUCAUAAAUGAUCUGAAACUACUGUAUUCCUUCUUGGAUUUCACACUUGCGGAUCCACAAACAGAUUCCUGUCGGGAGAGCUCUGCUACGUUGAAGUUUGAUGUCUGCUCAUAUUUUUCAAGCCAAGUCUGGCUCUUCAACCUGCUAUAGUUUCUUCGUGCUGAAACUGAUGAGAGAAAUAUUUGUAGCAUAUGCAAUUAGUAAAUCCCCUCUUGCAUUCCCAAUUUGCAGAGCCAUAAAUGGAUUUUUGUAGAGAGAGCUCUGCCACAUUGAAGUUUGACAACUGCUAAUAUUAUCAGACCAGGUCUGACUCUUCUGCCUACUACAAUGUUUUGCUGGUGCCACUGGUGGGAAAAGUUUCAAAGCAUAUGAAAUUAAUACAUUCCCUUUUGCAUUUGCCAUUGACAGAUCCACAAAUAAAUCUCUACAGAGAGAGCUCUACCGCGUUGAAAUUCAGUGUCUUCAUGGUUUUUUUUUUUUUAGACCAACAUCUUGUGCUGCUGAACUGGAAUUGAGCUCAUAAUUGGGGUAACUUCAAAGCAGACUAAUGCACCAUGAACAGGAGGUUAGUAGUCGUUUGGUUCCAUUAGAUGAUGUGGAGGCGAUGAAUACUUAACAGCGCAACUGGACAGGAAUCAGAGUUGUCAUUAGUUGAUGACUGAAGGCGUUGUUGCUGUUGUUCAUGACUGAAAAGGAAAGGUACAGCUUCAAUUGGACGUGAACAAGCAGUGUUCCCACAGAAACUGUGCAGACAUUCUCUUUUCAUUUGAUGCUCAACACUUGUUCGAGCAGAUCUGAGUCCCGCUACUUCACUCUUGAUGCUCUCAACCUUAAUCUGAUACUGAACCUAUAUCUGACUCCUUUGUUCACUUCCAUUAUUUUUCUUCAAUCUCGUGCAGCACAACUUGUACAAGGGACCUACGUUUCGACCCGGUUCAUGCAUGAUAAAUGUAUGAACAUGUAAUCUAUAUGAUGAACUCUCCCUUCGAGAGGUGACAAUAUGGUCGUAACUCUUGUAUGAUGGACAAGAAUCGUGAUUUUUGCCCAAACUCUACAAUGAAAAUUUUCGGAGCAACGGCCAAUGUGUCACCCACAAGUCUUGAGUUCAAGAUGCUUCAAGAAGGGUUUGCCCUUAUGCAAAAAACGAUAGCACAUACAACCUAAGGACAGGUUCUAUUCAUUAUGUGAACAUGGGUAAGUUUUCUAUCUGGUCUCAAAAGGGUCUCAUAUCUGCCCAGUGACGUUCUUCGUAAAGACAGUUUGGGGGCGUUGCAAGGAAUGGUUAAGGUACGUAUACCCACCAUUACCAAGCAGGCACUCAGAUAUGAGUUGGGUGUUUCACGCAUCUGAACCCUGACCAAUAGUCUUAGGGCAGAUCGCUAGUUCCCCACCUAACCUAGAAGCUUGUGUGUGCUUUUAAAAAUAAAUACAGGUGAUGCAUGAGACAAUUCUAUAAAAUGCAUGGAAAUAAAUAUUAACAAAAAGAUAAAAAUGCAAAAACUUAAACACAUCAAAUACACAAAGCUUAGUCCAAUAAUCGAAAAAAUACCUUCCCCAGUGGAGUCGCCAUUCUGUCGCACCCCAAAAAAAUCAGCGCGCGCAUCGGCUGGCGAUUUAAUAUCUCGUUUUUGUGUUUGCUUGAAUUUCGUUGGAGUCGCCACCUAGUAAUUUUUGGGCUACUAGGAAACCGGAUAUACUGGUCUGUCAGAGAUUCGCGGGUAAGGGACUGGUUGUGGUUAGGGAAGGUAUUAGCACCCCUAACGCACCCUACCUGAGGUAAGCUGCUUCGUGCUUUGACGUGUUAAAGAAGUUUUAAUAAUUGUCUUUUCAUCGGAAAUUAGAAAUAUCACUUACGUAUAAGUUAAUAAUUCUUAACCGUGAUCCGAUCAAAAUAUUAAAUUCUUUAUUUUGCAAUUUUAUCAUUAAAAUAUAUUAAAAAAAUAAAAACAAAUACAAACACACACAUUCACUUUAUUAUUUUUUUCUUUUUUUUUUCUUUUUCUUUUUUUAUCCACAAUACAAAUACAAAUACAAUAAUAAAUAAAUAAAAAUACAACCACACAACCCUUUUUUAUUAUUAUUUUCUUUCUUUUCUUUCUUUUCUUUUCUUUUUACAUCCAUUACAAAAUACAAAUAAAAAUCAAAACUAAAUAAAAAUACAUCAAAAAUUUAAAUUACAAAACAGUCCUAAAACAUCUCUAGAAAAUGCAGGACAGUGCACGGAAGAUUUCUGAGGCAGAAAACAGUGGCGGCGCGUCUCCUCCACGCGCCCCGCCGCAUCAAAUCCACACACACAGGGAUCUUUAGCAGCCUCCACCCUCUUCCACCGUGUGACCUGCACAGAAGAAUUAAAAACACAAAAAGCCAGUUGAUUUUAAUUAUGUUUCCAUCACAGUUUCGAAUCUGCUCCUCUUUCUCUUCUUCUCGUGCAGAUUUGUUUUUCUCUGCAAAUCAGCCCAUGUAUUUCUUCUCUUCUCCUCUACUCAGGUUGCCGAUCUGGUGGUUGCAAAGGGUUCACGGCUGUGGUCGUGCUGUUUGUCGUCCGUUAGUUCAGGCGGCGCUGUUGGAGAUCGGGAAGAUCGAUCGGGUUCUGUUGUCCUUCAAUUGGUUCUGUGAUGAGACCGCGGAGGAGAAGAAACGGCUCUUGUUAUCCGGGGUAUCGGUGCUGCUGCUGUUGCUGAGGAAAGAUCUGCUGGAGGCGCGUUGUUCACGGUGGCUGUGAAGAGAAGGCUGCAGUCGGGUUUGUCGGAGGCUGGCUUCGGGUUCGUCCGGUGGAAAAAAAAAAAAUUCCAGCGGGGGAUUAAAAAAUCAAGCCGGGGAGGAAGGAUUAGCCGUGUGUUGGUGGCUGGAAAAGCCAAACGAAAGGGGACGGCGUGGGUAGAGGCUGAGUGGGGAAGAAUGAAGAGCUGAAAUGGCAGGGGGGGCUGAAGGUUUGAGCCGGGGAAGGGCGGCUGCAGCUUUGGAAAAAAUGGAGAAGCCCUACUCUUGGGCGGCGGCUUGGAAUGAAAAAGAUAGAUUUUAGGUUUUUGUAUUUUUUUCUGAUAUUGUCAAAAUUGCCCCCCUCCAAAAAAUCAGUUUAGCAUGGUAUUUAUAGGCAACAAUGUUGCUAGGUCUUUCAACUUGGUCCCUCAACUUCUUUCUUUUUGUAAAUUUUGAUUUUUCUUAUUUUUUUGUUUUUUUGAAAACGAGCAAUAUCAACGUCGACUUAAAUGCGGAAAAUCAAUGAUUUAAAAUGACGCGAAAAGUCGAACGCGUUUGAAAAUAUUUAACAAAUAAAAUUCUUUUUUUAGACGACGUUGAAAAUGCUAAAAUGACGAAAAUAUAUUAAAAAAACAUAUUUUUUGGAUUUUCUUUGUUUUUCUCAAUUUUUGGAUUUUUUGAAAAUAUAUCAAAACAUGGGUCAAAAAUUGGGUAGCAACAAGGGGGCAGAAGCAUCAAUCGCAUCAGCCAGUCCUGCAGAAGAGAAGACGAUGAUGUGGCAUCAAAAACUAGGCCACAUGUCAAAGAAAGGUUUAAAGGUUCUCUCUGAUCAGAAGUUACUCCCUGGGCUUACAAAGGUUACUUUACCUUUUUGUGAGCAUUGUGUUACAAGUAAACAACACAGGUUGAAGUUUGGCACGUCAACAACUAAGAGCAAAUGCAUCUUAGACCUGAUUCACUCUGAUGUUUGGCAAGCACCGGUUGUAUCCUUGGGAGAAGCAAGAUACUUUGUAUCAUUCAUAGAUGACUUCUCUAUGAGAUGUUGGGUGUAUCCGAUUAGAAGAAAGGCAGAUGUGUUCGCAGUUUUUAAAACCUUCAAAGCGCGGGUAGAACUUGAAUCUGAAAAGAAGAUCGAGUGUUUGAGGACUGACAAUGGAGGAGAAUAUACCAGUGAUGAAUUUGAUAACUUCUGUCAACAUGAAGGUAUCAAAAGGCAGUUCACAACGGCAUACACUCCACAACAAAAUGGAGUGGCAGAGCAGAUGAACAGAACUCUAUUGGAAAGAACAAGAGCAAUGUUGAAGGCUGCAGGUCUAGAAAAGUCAUUCUGGGCAGAAGCAGUCAAUACCGCCUGUUAUGUGAUAAAUCGAUCUCCGUCAACUGCAAUCGAGUUGAAGACACCGAUGGAGAUGUGGACUGGAAAGCCAGCUGAUUAUUCUCGAUUGCAUAUAUUUGGAAGUCCUGUGUACGUGAUGUACAAUACACAAGAAGUUAGCAAACUGGAUUCAAAAUCCAGAAAAUGUGUAUUCUUGGGAUAUGCUGAUGGAGUGAAGGGGUAUCGCUUGUGGGAUCCCACUGCCCACAAGGUAGUCAUCAGCAAAGAUGUCAUAUUUGUAGAAGAUAAAAUGCAAAUGGAAGAAAAUAAUAGCAUUUUAAAGGAGACUACAAAAGUCCAGAUAGAAAAUACUCAGAAUCGUACUUCUUCUGAAGCUGCACCAGAGCAUGAAGAACAAGAACAAAUAGAGUCUGAAACUCCUGAAGUUCGACGGUCAACUCGUGAAAGAAGACCACCGGCUUGGCACUCAGAAUAUGUUACUGAGAGCAAUGUUGCAUACUGUCUUCUAACAGAGGAUGGAGAGCCAUCAACUUUCCAUGAGGCUAUCAAAAGCACAGAUGUAUCUAUGUGGAUGACAGCAAUGCAAGAGGAGAUUGAAGCUCUGCACAAGAAUAACACUUGGGAUCUUGUUCCGCUACCACAAGGAAGAAAGGUCAUUGGCAACAAAUGGGUUUACAAGAUAAAGCAUGAUGGCAAUGAUCAAGUGGAGCGGUAUCGUGCAAGAUUGGUGGUGAAAGGAUAUGCUCAGAAAGAAGGAAUAGACUUCAAUGAGAUAUUUUCUCCGGUGGUACGACUUACUACAAUCAGAGUAGUCUUGGCGAUGUGUGCUAUAUUUGAUCUUCACUUAGAGCAGUUAGAUGUGAAAACUGCAUUUCUUCAUGGAGAACUUGAAGAAGAAAUUUAUAUGCUCCAACCAGAGGGUUUUGCUGAAACAGGCAAAGAGAACUUGGUUUGCAGGUUGAACAAAUCUCUAUACGGUCUCAAACAGGCGCCGAGGUGUUGGUACAAGAGAUUUGAUUCCUUCAUAAUUAGCCUUGGGUACAACAGACUCAGUUCAGACCAUUGUACGUAUUACAAGAGGUUUGAAGAAAAUGAUGUUUUCAUCAUUUUGUUGUUGUACGUGGAUGACAUGUUGGUAAUAGGUCCCAACAAAGAUCGAGUCCAAGAAUUGAAGGCAUAGUUGGCUAGGGAGUUUGAUAUGAAGGACUUGGGACCAGCAAACAAGAUUCUAGGGAUGCAAAUUCACCGAGACAGAAGUAAGAGGAAGAUUUGGCUUUCUCAGAAGAAUUAUUUGAAGAAGAUCUUGCGACGCUUCAACAUGCAAGAUUGUAAGCCAAUUUCCACCCCACUUCCUGUUAACUUCAAAUUAUCCUCAAGUAUGUCUCCUAGCAAUGAAGCAGAGAGGAUGGAGAUGUCUCGAGUACCGUAUGCAUCAGCAGUGGGAAGUUUAAUGUUUGCCAUGAUAUGUACAAGACCAGACAUUGCGCAAGCAGUGGGAGCAACUAGUCGAUACAUGGCAAAUCCUGGUAGAGAGCAUUGGAAUACUAUUAAGAGGAUCUUGAGAUACAUCAAGGGUACCUCAGAUGCCGCAUUAUGUUAUGGAGGAUCAGAAUUUACUAUCAGAGGUUAUGUUGACUCAGAUUUUGCUGGUGACCUUGAGAAAAGAAAAUCCACUACAGGCUAUGUGUUCAUAAUUGCAGGAGGAGCUGUGAGCUGGGUCUCUAAACUUCAGACUGUUGUAGCGUUAUCCACAACAGAAGCUGAGUAUAUGGCAGCUACAUAAGCUUGUAAAGAAGCAAUAUGGCUGAAGAAACUUAUGGAGGAGCUCGGGCACAAACAAGAGAAGAUUCUUUUGUAUUGUGAUAGUCAGAAUGCCUUGCAUAUUGCAAGGAAUCCAGCGUUUCAUUCAAGAACAAAACAUAUAGAUGUUCAGUAUCACUUUGUUCGCGAAGUGGUGGAAGAUGGAAGUGUGGAUUUUCAGAAGGUUCACACAAAGGAAAACCCAGCAGAUGUUUACCAAACCAGUCAACACUGAUAUAUAUAUGGUGCAGAUCCUCUUGUGGCCUAGCAGAAACGUAAGCAACAUGAAGAUGACAAGUAUUGAAAGGAUAGAAGAAUCACAAAUGAUGAAGUGUGAAGACUUGAUUCAAUCAUCAAAGUCUUCAAGUGGGAGAAUGUGAAGAUAGGUGGAGGUGCCUACCUUGGGUGGAGGUGCCUUAACCAACUUGGCCACUUGCUCUUGCAUGGAUGCUUGCCUAUAAAUAGGCAAUGCAUCCAAGCAUUGAAAACACACCACAAGAGAGAAACAAGAGAGGAAGAGAAGAGUGAGAGAGGGAAAGUAAUCCCACAAAAUUGUGAGGUAUUUGUGAGAGAGUAAGUGAGGUGUUUUCUCCUAAUAAUAGAGAGAUUCUUAGUUGUUCUCCUAUUAUUUGAGAGAGGUUGUAAUUCCCACAUUACUAGUAAAAUCCUUCUAUACUUGCCCGUGGACGUAGCCUAAUUGGGUGAACCACGUAAAUUCUUGUGUGUCUCAUUUCUCAUUUAAGCCUUUUGUCUUGUCGGGUUUGCAUGCCAGUAUCCUAACAGGGUGGUCAUGCAUGGAUUUCAUGUAACGGGGCGGACUCUAGCUUCUGUUGUAUGUGUGAGCUGUCUGUGUUAUUGUUCUGCUAUAAAAUGUACUAUGUUUUUAAAUUCUUUUUCCUGCUUUUUACCUGUUCCUCGUUUGUACAUUCUGUAAAAAUGUUAUGCAAAGGACCUUCUUUUUGUAAAUUCUGUUUUCUCCUUUGAUAUUGUGCUAAAUAUUAUGAUAGUUCUGUUUCUGCUUCCCAGUCUGAUAAAAUUAUUAAAUUUUAAUUAAUUAUUUAUGUUUAUUUCUAAAGCAUACGAAGAAAGAAAAAAAUCUUAACAAUAUUAACUUCAAAUUCUUAUAAGUCUUAAUAUUUUUUUUAAUUCUUUCAUACACAAUUUAUGAUUCAAAAUAACAGGAGAGAAAACCAUUUAUUUCACAUUUUUUAAACCAAAAGACUCAAGAUAAAAUACUAAAUUUUUUAGUUUGAUUAGUGUAAGCGAGGAGUUUUAGUCUUCUACUGUCAAUUCUGUUUUAAUUAGUGUUUUAUUAUUUUAAUUGUAACAAUAUAUUUUGGUUUACGAGUGUUUUUAGGUGUUAUUUUGGAUUGUCUAUAUAUAUAACUCAAAAUAUAAAUUUAAAAAAUAUAAUUUAAAUUUAAAUUUAAAAAAAAAUAACUUGAAAUUAUAUAAUUUAAAUUUCAAAUAUAAAUAAAAAAAUAAGGGUAAAUCUAUAUGAACCGAUCAAUUCAAUGAGUUCAAAAAUAGUCUAGAUGACUAGUAAAAAUAUAAUUUUAUUUAAAAAAGUUCAAGAUGAUAUAUUUUUUAAAAAAAAUAUUAAGACAACAAUAUAUUAUAUCAACUCGGGUAAAUCUGAGCUAACCUUUUAAAUCCAUAACCCGGGUCAUGAGACUAUAAUAACCCUAAAUAAAAUAAAUAAAAAUAAAUUAUGAAUCUUAAUUUUUAAUAAAAAAAACAAAACAAAAUAUUAUUUGGCCAUAACAAAAUGGCUGGAAUAGAAUCAAAAUAUUAUGGCCAGAAUUUAGGUGAAAUUCAUGGAUUGAAAUAAGAUUCUAAACGAGAUGAAAUAUCUUCUAAUUUAUUUUAUUUUUUAAAUUUAAAUAAAAUAUAUAUACCUGCCAUUCUAGACGUUACAUAAUAAAAUUAAAAACCAUAGCUUUUAGAAACCCAAGCUUACGGCUCCAUCCCGUGGGAAAAAUUGCAAUGGUAUCACUGACCCAUCUUGUGGUGGAUAAUCUAUUACAGUGCCCUCUCCAUCAACAUAUAUAUAUAUAUAUAUAUAUAUAUAUAUAUAUAUAUAGACACACACACUCAAUGAUAACUUAAUAACUUUAUAAUAGUUUUCAAGUUUUGAGAUAUAAAUUCAUAGCUCUUAAAGACAAGAAAUAUACCACAAGAUUUAAACCUAUUUUAUAUUUUAUGUAGAAAAAACAUUUGAUAGCAAUGGUCGCAUGGACCAUUCCACUUGCCUAUAUGGUGGAAAAAAUACAGAUGAAAAUAGUCUCAGAGACCCAUCUUACAUUGCAAACUCCUAUCUAUCUUACUCGUUGAUUAUGUUAAAAAAAAAGAGACUAAUAUGUACUUUAGAAAGAAAAAAGAAGUAAAUAUAACCAGAAAACAAAUACAUAAAAAAAUGAUAAAAUGUAUAUUUUCAUUGAAAGAUGUGUCAUAUAUUAAUCCAAGGUCCCUUGUCCAUUAAUUAAUCGGUGGUUGCAUUCUAACACUUGAGAUUUAUUUUUUAUGCUCAAGCAUUUAAAUUUUUUUUAAAAAAAAACUAAAUUGAAAUUAAAGCAUAUUAUCCGAACCCAAGCUUAUAAUGCAAUGGUCUCAUGGACCCAUCUUGUUGAAAAAUUGCUUGAUAGCAAGUCUCAUAGACCAUCCCACAUUACUGCAAUGGCAAUAUAUAGUCUCACACUGCAAAUUUCUAUCCAUCUUACUUGUUGAUUGUGUUAUAAAAAAUAGACUCUCUAGAAAGAAAAAAAAAAAGAAGACUUAUUGUCAUGACAAUGACAAGAAGUAUUUUAGAAAUAAUAUCAUUUGUGGUUCAUUUUAUCAACAAUAUUGUUUGAUUUUACCAUCACCAUCAAAAUUAAGGCAUGAUUUUCCACACGUUAUUUCUAUAAAGAAAAUAGCAAGUCUUCUAUAUUCGUCAUUGUCAUUCAAAGUGAGCUACCUAGCGUUAUAACCUUUGAUUCAUAUUUUUCCUUAAAAAAAAGCUAACAUGGGUUCAACUUUAUAAGAAGGAAUACAAGUUUUUGGUUAAUUACUUUUAUGCAAAUUUUUUUUCUACACUAUGAUUUUAAUCAGCGUUAUUAAAUUUAAUUCAAGCUUAAUAUUUUAUUCUGGAACCUAACCCAAUUUAGGUUUAGAAAAAAACAAGUGAGAGUUGACUCAAUCAAGCCUAGUUGACCAGAUAAAUCAACUCACAACCUAGUCAACUCAGUAAAAAACUAGUUUUACUUUUUUUAACAACACGAUUUUGAUUUUUUCUAUAAAAAAAUCAUAAAAUGAUAUAAUUUUUUAUUUACACCAGUCAAUAAGCUAAUUUGUCCGAUCUAUGACCCAAAUCUUGAUCCGAGUAUUAAUUAGACCAAUCUAUGACCUAAACCCUCACCCUCACCUGACAAUUAAAUCUAACCAUGUUUAAUAACUUUGGUUACUUAAGAAAAAUGUCAUAUAUAAAACAUUUAUUCGCAUCCAGCUUGAAACAUUCAUAAAUUGAUGUAAUAGUUAUUAAUAUUUAUUUUUAAUAUAUAUAAAAUGAAAGAUUUUAAUAAUUGAUUAAUAGUGUUAAACCAUAUAUGUUUUUAUAUAAAUACUUUUAAUUUUAUUUUUAAUAUUGAGUUUGCUUAUCCCGAUCUCAUGAUCCAAGUUAUAGACUUGAUGGGCUAACUCGAGUUUUUUUUAAUAUGUGUGUGUUUGUGUGUUAUUACUUCCUCCCCAUGUCUUCUAUAUACCUAUAUUUCUCUUUUAUGCUAGUUAGCCUCUAAUUUUGGCUCUAGCACCUUUCUAUAAUAUACAAUACUUGAUUAUUAUGAAAAAGAAGAAGCAGAAGCAGAAAUAACUUAGAAAGUUAAUUGUUAUGGGUAACAAGUUAUUUAGUUGAUUUUUGAAGAUUUUAGGUAAAAAUGAGGAUUUUGAGUUAUAGUUUGUUUAAAUAAUGAAUUUGAGUUGGAAAUCUUGAUAUAUUAGUAGGUGAUAUGUGAAAAAUCGGGUUUUGAGGUUGAAGAUGAUAAAACUUCAGUUUGGUCCCUCAAUUUGUGAAAAUUUCAGUUUGGUCCCUAAACUUUAAAAAAUUACAGAUUGGUCCCUGGUGUAUAAUCCUAGGUUCUAGACAGAACUAAAGAUGAAUUAUGGGCAAAAUUCCAGUAUAGUUACUAAUUUAUGAUAUUUUUAUUUUGGUUCUCAAAUUUGAUAUAAUUAUAAUUUGACCUUUAAAAAUCUGCUAAAAUUCCAUAUUGGUCCCUGGAGCAUAAUCCGAGAUUCUUGAUAGAAUUAAAGAAGAAUUAUGGUAAAAUUGCAGUAUAGUUAUGAAUAUGACAUUUUCAUUUUGGUCCUUUAUCAAUUUGACAAAAUUACAAUUUGAACCUUAAAAAUAUGCAAAAAUUCUAGAUUGAUCCCUAGCUGUAAUAUUAGCCUUUUUAGAUUGGUUUGAUGAAUAAUUUAGAUUUAUUUAAUGAAUUAUUAUCAUGUUUUAUGAUUUUUUUUUCUUAUGCAACCAAUACUCAUAUAAAUGUGGCCUUAAACUUACUAUCCAUUAAUCUUAUCAAUAACAUAUUUAAUUAUCAUAUACAUGUCCAUACAACUAUACUUGAGAUUUAAGUUUUGCAUCAUGUAAUUAUUAUAUUCCAAAAAAGAAAGAGAGAUAUAUUAUUAUAUAUGUAUGUUAUGUUAUGUUAUGUUAUGUAUUUGAAGUUUUUGUAUAUAAUAUUGUAGCCACACAAUCCACAAGGAUAAGAUUUAUAAUUAUUUCAAGUUUAUUAUUAUUGAUAAUUUAUGAUAGUGAUGGCACCACGCAAGUAGGGUUGACGAGAAAAGUAUAAUUAUGAAGUCAUUGAAUGUUAUAAUGAGAAAGAUUGGCAAUUAUUACAUAUCCAAGAAAAUGUUUUUUUUUAAAUCUUUUUCUCACAAGAUAAGGUAAUUGGUUGUCGUGUAAUUUUUAUAUGGUUUUUUUUUUAUUAACGUGGGUGUUCGGACUUGUGUAUUGUCAACCAAAAAAAUGUUAUUUUUAGUAUUUUUUUAUAUAAGGUAAUUGGUUGGGUUUAAAAAUCAAAAUGUCACACACCAGAAAAGUCCAUUACUUAAGAUUUGUGGAAGAUAUGAUACAAGAGAUAAGAAAAUGAUUCUUAUUAUCGAUAAUCUCUCUGUUUUAUAUAUAUAUUGGAGAAGUAACUCAUUAGAUAAUCAAUAAAAUUUCUUUUUGUUUAUUUACCACUGGUUUACACUUCAAUCAAAAACUAAAUUUACUUUUACUAUUAUUUUAAUUUUUUAAAAAUAUUUUAAUUUUGUUUAAUGCAUUAAUUUCAAGAAAUAAAUUCCUAGACUUGAAAAACCAGAUGUAUUUUAUAAUUAGGGAGAAAACUAGAGAAAUUGAUUAGUCUUCUCAUUCUAAUAAUAUAAAUGAUAUAUCUUUUACUCAAUUGAAAAUAAAUAUAUUUAAUAUUGAAAUGUAAUAAAAACAAGUCAAGAAUACCUUUCCGGCCAUAAAAACAAAAAUGUCUCUAGCUUUUAUAUAUAUAUAUAUAUAUAUAUUUGAAGUUUUUGUAUAUAAUACUGUAACCAUACAAUCCACAAGGAUAAGUUUUAUAAUUAUUUCGAGUUUAUUAGUAUUGAUAAUUUAUGAUAGUGAUGGCAUGCAAGUAGGGUUGACGAGAAAAGUCCAAUUAUGAAGUCAUGAAGGUGCAUGCUUGAAGGAGAAUAUUUAUGAUCAUGCUUUGUCGGAGCAGCCUAAUAAAUUAAUAAUACUUUACUACAAAAAAUAAACAUCCUUGUUCUGUUUUGUUAUAGUUCUUAUGUUAGAGUACAUGUUGUGAUUCAUCUCUUGAUUGCUUCUGAUCCUGUCAUUAAUAUUUUCAGGGAUCCUAAAAUCUUGAGACGAGCAGUCUGGGGGUUUCGUGGAGUUUCCGGCGUGUAACGCUAAAUAACCUUUUGGCCGGAAGUUCUUCAUGAGAUAAAGAAAAAAAGAUGUCCUCAACCCCUGAUGCUCCCUCGCCAUAUUCUGCCCCCCCAUCUCCUUCACCAGCGUCACUACCAGAUACUCCACCAGCUCCACCACCAGAUACAUUAUCUCUUCCUCCACCAUCUCCACCACCAGAUACUCCACCACCAGAUACACCACCUCCUCCACCACCAGAUACACCACCUCCUCCACCACGAGCUCCACCACCAGAUACACCACCUCCUCCACCACCAGCUCCACCACCAGAUACUCCACCACCAGAUACACCACCUCCUCCACCACCAGCUCCACCACUAGAUACUCCUCCACCAAGUUCAGAAAACUCACAACCAGCACCUCCAGAUUCAUCAAAUAAUGGUGGAAGACUUACUUCAGAUCAGAUUAAAAUUGUAGUUGGGGUGGCAGUUGGUUUCGGUGUAUUCCUUAUUGCCUUGAUUUUCAUCUGUGGAUACUGUUCGCGCAAGAAGAAAAGAAAAAAUAGGCAUUAUGAUGGAGAAAAUCCUCAAAGAGGUAAAUAUGUUGUUUCACCAAACCUUAUGUUUUUGUAAAUCAUUUCUAUCACCAUUGAUUACUUAUAACUUCGAAAUUAAGUAGAUUUCAAAUGGUUCAUCCGAUUUCAGAAUGGUUCAAGCUAUUUCUUUCCUUCAAUCACUGUUUUGAGAGAAGGGAGUUGUAUUCUAACUUCGUUAGUCUGAUUUUAUGUUCAGAAACUGGUUAUGCUAGAAAAGCUUCUUCUGUUGCUUCAAUUCAUUUUGAACCUGUUAUAGAUCACGUAUAGUCCCUCCAAUCUACUCAUAAAAAUGACGGAAAAGAUGUCUUGAUAUCUCUGCUAAAUAUUUUUGA
rnacentral:lncRNA from 1 species